CCUGGCGGCACUAGCGCGGUGGUCCCACCUGACCCCAUGCCGAACUCAGAAGUGAAACGCCGUAGCGCAAGUGAAGAGCCCAUCCUGCCGGAUGGGCUUUUUGCGUUUCUGUCGUCCGGC
rnacentral:rRNA from 1 species